CCUACGGGAGGCAGCAGUGGGGAAUAUUGCACAAUGGGCGCAAGCCUGAUGCAGCGACGCCGCGUGAGGGAUGACGGCCUUCGGGUUGUAAACCCUCUUUCAGUAGGGAAGAAGCGAAAGUGACGGUACCUGCAGAAGAAGCGCCGGCUAACUACGUGCCAGCAGCCGCGGUAAUACGUAGGGCGCAAGCGUUAUCCGGAAUUAUUGGGCGUAAAGAGCUCGUAGGCGGUUUGUCGCGUCUGCCGUGAAAGUCCGGGCUCAACUCCGGAUCUGCGGUGGGUACGGGCAGACUAGAGUGAUGUAGGGGAGACUGGAAUUCCUGGUGUAGCGGUGAAAUGCGCAGAUAUCAGGAGGAACACCGAUGGCGAAGGCAGGUCUCUGGGCAUUAACUGACGCUGAGGAGCGAAAGCAUGGGGAGCGAACAGGAUUAGAUACCCUGGUAGUCCAUGCCGUAAACGUUGGGCACUAGGUGUGGGGGACAUUCCACGUUUUCCGCGCCGUAGCUAACGCAUUAAGUGCCCCGCCUGGGGAGUCGGCCGCAGGCUAAACUCAAAGGAAUUGACGGCGNGAGACGNGCGACGACGACGACGAGGGAGAGG
rnacentral:rRNA from 1 species